GCUGGGUGUGGUGGCUCAUGCCUGUGGUCCCACAUACUCUGGAGGCUGAGGUGGGAGGAUCACCUGAGCCCAGGAGGUCAGGGCUGCAGUAAGCCAAGAUGGCACCACUGCACUCCAGCCUGGGCGACAGAGUGAGAUCUUAUCUUUA
rnacentral:SRP_RNA from 1 species